GAGGCAAUCCCUAAACUACAGAACGAGGGGAGUGCGGCAUCGUGUUUCUGUGUGCAGAUGCCGAGUCUGUGGAGGUUGUGAAGUUGUGAAGAUGCAGCCCCGAACACAAACAUAUGAUCUCUCCUUGUCUUCUGGAGCUGUGGAGAGUGGAAGAUUUGGAAGACAACAGUUAAGAGCAUGGACCUAGGUAGAGGAACAGAGGCAGUGCAGCUUCAUGACUCCCUGCUGAGCAUUCAGUGUUCCUAUUCAGCUGGACCCAGACAGUCUGUAAGUAGCCUAACAGUGUUUACUACAGAAUUUAAACUUUAUUUGUUAAUGAUAAAAUGCUUGUUUUGGCAGCAUGGUGGUGCAGUGAUUAGUGCUGUUGCCUCAUAGCAAGAGGGUUCCAGGUUCAAAUCCCGGACUGCACCCUUCUGUCUGGAGAUUACAAGUUCUCCUUGUGCCUGCGUGGGUUUUCUGCGGGUACUCCGGCUUCCUCCCACAAGCCCAAAAACAUGCAUUACUGGCUAUUCUACAUUGCUCCUAAGUAUGAGUGUGUGCGUUUGUGGUUGUCUGUCUUUGUGUCUCAGCCCUGCGAUUGACUGGCGACCAGUCCAGGGUGAACCCUUCCUCUCGCCCGUAGUCCGCUGGGAUAGGCUCCAGCUCCCUGCAACCCUGAUGUAUGAGCGGUAUAGAAAAUGGAUGGGUGGAUGGAUGGAUGAAAGUGCUUGUUUUUUGUUUUCUUAAUAUUGAUGCCUAUCAUGAAUCUUGUUUACAGCAAAUGCCACCUAAAGACAUCCUCAGCACCUCACCUUAGUUAAACUCAACACAGCUGCUGCCUGUUUGCUGCCAGAGAACCAGAAUCAUUCCUGAGGUAGAGGCAGGUUGUUCUCCAGAACUUUAACCUGAGGGCCACCACCAUACACACAUCAUGUCACCCCCAGUACUGUUACACUGCAAUGUUUUCCACAGACUCAAGACUAAUUUGUGGUGGAAGCAGCCACCGGAUGAGGGGUCAGAUAUUGCACUUCCACAGAGAAUUAUGAUGUGCACAAAGAGGGAGAGAUAGAACAUACAUGGCAAGGGAAUGCAGCUGUGAAAGAAUAAAGAUGCUGCGUUUUCAAAUAGCAUAGCGGAAAAAAAAAGAAACGUGAAUGAGAGAGAACAAAAUCAACAUUGUGGGCUCAGAAGUUGUAUUGUGGUUAGGAAGUUUGCCAUGCAUAAUUCUUUUAAUGUUCAUUGAAAUAUUUCUUGAUAUAUUGAAAGAUUUUAGUCUGUUUUCAUUAUUUUAUGUGAAAACAGUCCUCAUGUCCAUGUGUGCUUGAGCAAGAGACUGAACACAGUUUGAGUUUCAGAUCUGGCCGUACCCAAGUGAUAUCACCUUACUCAGACACAUAUUGAUGCACUUGAGUAACUCAAUAUUAUGAUUUUUGAUUGAGCAUCAAAAAUACUGCAUCAACUGCUGCCUGAUGGACAUGCCAGUGCCUUGCAUAACAUCUCCUCCACAAUCUGUCUGUGUGUGUGUAAAUGAAUCAAUGAAAGACAUUCCUUUCUGUUUCUGUUCUGGACAGAAAAUCCAAUGAAUAUCUGGCACUCCAAUCACUACCCCUCUGUUACAUACAGUCUCCAAUGUAGCAUCAGAUUUACCUCAUUUAUUACUUUUAUGUUGACAAGAUGCGAAUAAUGUUAUGUGCAGCAAUUUAAUAUGCCUUUGUUUAUGUUUGUUCAAAAUGUUUUUGUUCUCAUACUUUAUGUUUCACUUUCUGAUUUUAAUAAAGAUGCUUGAAUGAAAUUACAUACAGUGCAACAUUGCAUGUCUGAUGAUAAUAUUUUGAAUAGUAACAGUAGCUCUGUAAGUAGUUGCCACUGAAUAUACAGUUGUGCUCAUAAGUUUACAUACCCUGGCAGAAUUUAUUAUAUCUUGGCCAUUUUUCAGAGAAUAUGAAUGAUAACACAAAAACUUUUCUUUCACUCAUGGUUAGUGGUUGGGUGAAGCCAUUUAUGAUCUACUGUGUUUCCUCUUUUUAAAUCAUAAUGACAACAGAAACUACCCAAAUGACCCCUAUGAAAAGUUUACACACACCAGUUCUUACUACUGUGCAUUGCCCCCUUUAACAUCAAUGACAGCUUGAAGUCUGUUGUGGUACUUGUGGAUGAGGCUCUUUAUUUUCUCAAAUGGUAAAGCUGCCCAUUCUUCUUGGCAAAAAGCCUCCAGUUCCUGUAAAUUCUUGGGCUGUCUUGCCUGAACUGCACGUUUGAGAUCUCCCCAGAGUGGCUCAAUGAUAUUAUAUUAGUAGACUGAGAUGGCCACCCCAGAACCUUCACUUUAUUCUGCUGUAGCCAAUGACAGGUCGACCUGACCUUGUGUCUUGGAUCGUUCUCAUGUUGGCACGUCCAAGUAUGUCCCAUGCGCAGCUUCCUCCAGUUCUUUUUUAUACGUUAAUAAACUGUUUUUCAAGGUUUGACGGUCUUCUACACAUUGGCUGGAAUGUGAUUUUUCUUUCCAGCUGUCUAGUUUUCUGUUUCAAUAUGUGUAGAUUUGAAUUGUACCAGGGAGCUACUCUCUUCUGAUUAAUGACCUUCUUUUUCAGAGGGGCUACAGAAUUAAGGGUCCCAAGAAGUGAUGUUGCAGUGCUAUCUACAAGAACUUUAACAUCCACAUGAAUGUUAAAGUCUCCCACUAUGAUAACUUUGUCUGAGUUUAUUGCUAAGUAUGAUAGAAAGUCAGGGAAUUCA